rnacentral:rRNA from 1 species
CGGACGGGUGAGUAACGCGUGAGAAUCUGCCCUCAGGAGGGGGAUAACAGUUGGAAACGACUGCUAAUACCCCAUAUGCCGAGAGGUGAAACGAAUUUCGCCUGGGGAUGAGCUCGCGUCUGAUUAGCUUGUUGGUGGGGUAAUGGCUUACCAUGGCUUCGAUCAGUAGCUGGUCUGAGAGGACGAUCAGCCACACUGGGACUGAGACACGGCCCAGACUCCUACGGGAGGCAGCAGUGGGGAAUUUUCCGCAAUGGGCGCAAGCCUGACGGAGCAACGCCGCGUGAGGGAUGGAGGCCUUUGGGCUGUAAACCUCUUUUCUCAAGGAAGAAGAUCUGACGGUACUUGAGGAAUAAGCCACGGCUAAUUCCGUGCCAGCGGCCGCGGUAAUACGGGAGUGGCAAGCGUUAUCCGGAAUUAUUGGGCGUAAAGCGUCCGCAGGCGGCCGUUUAAGUCUGUUGUUAAAUCGUGGAGCUCAACUCCAUCACGGCAAUGGAAACUGUUCGGCUUGAGUAUGGUAGGGGCAGAGGGAAUUUCCGGUGUAGCGGUGAAAUGCGUAGAUAUCGGGAAGAACACCAGUGGCAAAAGCGCUCUGCUGGGCCAUUACUGACGCUUAUGGACGAAAGCCAGGGGAGCAAAAGGGAUUAGAUACCCCAGUAGUC